AAGAAGCGCGGUUUGGCCGGUCAUAUUUCGGAGGACGCAUGACUCGACCUUCGCCUCUCCCGAGCCCGUUGGGGAGUUGCAACGAUGAGACAAGAUCGUAGUCACGAAAUUUGGGAGAGAAAGGGGAAGGUGGCGCUCCUCCCCGGUCGGGCGGCGCUCGGCGGUCGUCGUUGGAGACUUAGUGACCCCAAGAUGCGACCAAGGUCUAUAAUUCUCCAACUAUGUCCAUUGGACUUUUCUUUGCCUCCUGAACCUUUUUCCUCACUGUGUGUGAGGACAAGAUACACUUGGGUCCUCUAUCAGUGAUGGAUGACAAAGGAAUUUGACAUGGAUGCUAGCAAAUUGUUAUAUCCCAGUGCAACAGCAAGCCAUGGAAGGCCACAAUACAGGUUGUUAAACUGAGAUUCAUUUUCAAAAGUAGAAAGC
rnacentral:lncRNA from 1 species